rnacentral:misc_RNA from 1 species
GUUCAAUCCUAGUCAAGGGUCACUUCCUAAUGGUCUCCUACCAGGUGGGCAGAUUAAUCUUUCUGCCGGACCUUUACAUUGGCCUGGUCAAAAUUCCUUUAACCUAGCAGCAUUUGGGAUGGGCUUCCAGAUUCAACCUGCUCGUCCAACCAUAAAUACUAUGAAUAUUGGAAGCCAAGGAAUGAUGUCUAAUGGACUGCACGCCGAACAGAACAGUAACUUGCAACCACCUUCUGUCAUU